AUACGUAGGGGGCGAGCGUUGUCCGGAAUGAUUGGGCGUAAAGGGCGCGUAGGCGGCGCGGUAAGUCUGGAGUGAAAGUCCUGCUUUCAAGGUGGGAAUUGCUUUGGAUACUGCCGCGCUUGAGUGCAGGAGAGGUUAUCGGAAUUCCCGGUAUAGCGGUGAAAUGCGUAGAGAUCGGGAGGAACACCAGUGGCGAAGGCGGGUAACUGGACUGCAACUGACGCUGAGGCGCGAAAGUGUGGGGAGCAAACAGGAUUAGAUACCCUGGUAGUCCACACUGUAAACGAUGAAUGCUAGGUGUAAGAGGUAUCGACCCCUUUUGUGCCGGAGUCAACACAAUAAGCAUUCCGCCUGGGGAGUACGGCCGCAAGGUUGAAACUCAAAGGAAUUGACGGGG
rnacentral:rRNA from 1 species